rnacentral:lncRNA from 1 species
ACGGCCUGUUUCACCCUCAUACCGGACGGGGUAUUGAGGUUCAUGGUUUUGGCGCCCAUACCGGACGGGGUAUGGGGACAGCCCUGGAAUUAGGUUAUAAAUGUUAAGGAUUCACGGGUAGCGGGACCCCUAUGGAUCCCCAUGGAUACUAGUAGGCUGGUAAAAAGGAAUUAUGCCGUUUAAAGAUUGAAAUGCAAACGCGUGAUAAAUGUUGUAUUAUAAAGUCUAUGUGAUAACGUGAUGAUGAUAAUGUGUUACUUGUGUAUUGUUUUAUGGAUCUCACCCAGGUAAAUGGAAAGUAAACGCUUUUAUGAACAAAUGGGUUUAUUACAAAUUAUGCUCCAUUGGU